CUGUUUUUAACAUUUAGAAUUUUUUGUUUUUUUACAGACAGCAGGGGGAGUACCUGUUAUUACAUGGACGGCUAUGCCGGUCCUCGCGAUCACAUGGCCCAGGGGGGCCGAAGAGGACAGAGGGGGACUCCCUGGGCUCCCAGGUAAGUCCCCAUACCGCGAUCGUCUGGUGUGGGAUCGCCGGUGACCGGAUAAGUACAUAGAACGGCGGGGACAUGCUAUGCCGUCCCUGGCGUUUAGAGCCGGUUCCCUAAGGACGGCAUAGCACACCCGCCAUCCUUAAGGUGUUAAUCGAUAGUAGGGACAAGCAAAAAUAUGUCACCUGACCAUCUCGAAGCACGCAGGCUGUCCGAGUGCUCUGGUUGCAAACAGUCUUCUCUGCUCUCCUCACACUCAUAUCUCCUGUCACCAUAAGUGACUAACUUUACAAAAAUUGGCUAUUGCCUUGUACCAAGCAUGCCCACAAUGUGGAAUUUUGUCUAUAUUGCCCAGUGUACUUAAACCUGUUUAAGAUUUCACAAACUGUUUAUUAUCUGCCUAGGAAGGGACAGACCCACUGGCGUACAUACCAGGGUCGCAGGGGUCGCGACUGCGACCGGCCCACCAGGGGGCCCGGCCGCCCCUGCGACCCGGUAUGUAGCCACAGGGCCAGCCUCUUCCCCUGGGGGGGCCCAGGAACCGACCACCC